UGACAUGCACUGGACCGAUCCAGAGAUGGGUUUUCCUUUUUGGCUGGUGUGCAGGUGGUGCAUGGUUGUCGUCAGCUCGUGUCGUGAGAUGUUGGGUUAAGUCCCGCAACGAGCGCAACCCUUGUCCUAUGUUGCCAGCAAGUUGUGUUGGGGACUCGUGGGAGACUGCCGGGGUUAACUCGGAGGAAGGUGGGGAUGACGUCAAAUCAUCAUGCCCCUUAUGUCUUGGGCUUCACGCAUGCUANAUUGGCGUCUACAGAGGGUUGCGAUACCGUAAGGUGGGGCGAAUCUCUUAAAGGGCGUCUUGGUUCGGAUCGGGGUCUGCAACUCGGCCCCGUGAAGGUGGAGUCGCUAGUAAUCGCAGAUNAGA
rnacentral:rRNA from 1 species